CGACGUGGAUAACCUGCCUCACACGAGGGGGUAACAGUUAGAAAUGACUGCUAAUACCGCAUAAGCGCACGGCAUCGCAUGAUGCAGUGUAGAAAACUCCGGUGGUGUGAGAUGGAUCCGCGUCUGAUUAGGUAGUUGGUGGGGUAACGGCCCACCAAGCCGACGAUCAGUAGCCGACCUGAGAGGGUGACCGGCCACAUUGGGACUGAGACACGGCCCAA
rnacentral:rRNA from 1 species